rnacentral:rRNA from 1 species
UACGGAGGAUGCGAGCGUUAUCCGGAUUUAUUGGGCGUAAAGGGCUCGUAGGCGGUUCGUCGCGUCCGGUGUGAAAGUCCAUCGCUUAACGGUGGAUCCGCGCCGGGUACGGGCGGGCUUGAGUGCGGUAGGGGAGACUGGAAUUCCCGGUGUAACGGUGGAAUGUGUAGAUAUCGGGAAGAACACCAAUGGCGAAGGCAGGUCUCUGGGCCGUUACUGACGCUGAGGAGCGAAAGCGUGGGGAGCGAACAGG